rnacentral:lncRNA from 1 species
GCAAGAUAGAGGCAUGUGUUAACCACGCCGACAAAAAGGGGAAAUCAAACGAAACGAAACCCUAACCGAUAGAAAAAGGGUAAAAAUAAAGAAGAGAUUAAAUUGAACAAGGGAGAUUGAAGAAUUGAUAGGACUAACCGAUGAUGAUUCGAUCAGAGAGGGAGAAAUCGAAGACGAAGCAGCGUUUAAGAGAUGAGAGAGUGUGUGCAGAAAUUGAAAGGGUUGGGACAAUGAUAACAGAGCGAAAAGGGGGUUUUAUGCUCUCAAUAUUUGUCCUGUUCGCGUUAUGUCAAUAGGCAUAAAAGAUAAAAAU